GGAAGUGGGGAGUUGCUUUCAUGGGUUUUAGUCCUGCAUGAGAAUUGGCCCCACCUCUGACAGAUGUUGACAUGCAGUCCUUUGUGGGAGCUACCUCCAUACCCUUUACAAUCACUGGACUCACCACAAGCAUGUGGGCUUUCUAUCUGUGGUCCUCACUAAUGACUAGUCUUAAACAGGUUGUUAAAUGCCUAUGAGCUGACCUGGGUUAUUUGUCCACAGAGGCCACCUAAAAUGCUGGGCAAUAUUGUGACCUUGUAGAUGAGCAUCUCCAGGUAUGUAAUGGAUGUGGGACUUGCUCUGUGACUGACGGUCCCAUAGCUGAGUGAUAAAUGCCAGUCAGCGGCCCAGAGCUACAACAGUGGGAUAUGGGCCUGAGUUCCUAUUUUUGCUUUUCCACACAGAAGGCAAGAUCUUGGGCUAUUCAUUCCUGCACAUCUUCUUCUGAGAAAAGGGAGUUUUACGCAAUCUCCAGGAGGAGGUGCCAGCAGCAGUUCAGUCCAUCCUUACUCACCACCCAUAUAUACACUCCCACACUGUUCCACAUCCAACAAAACUCCCUGGAUAGUUGCUGAACAGAAUCAUCCUCCUAGCUCCCACAGAGUGCCUCCUAUGAGAGCUUCCUGGCUGGAUGCCACAGGAAGAAGCCCCAACCUUCUCCAAGGUAAGCUCUUUUUGUCUAAGAGAGACAUUUUGUUUUCCCUUUUUCUUUAAUUUAUUUUUCAUUUAUUUUCCGCAUAAGAGUAUUCACUAUUUUUGCACCACACCCAGUGCUCCAUGCAUUCCAUGCCCUCUAUAAUACCCACCACCUGGUACCCUAACCUCCCACCCCCCCGCCACUUCAAACCCCCCAGAUUGUUUUUCAGA
rnacentral:lncRNA from 1 species